AAUCAUACUGAGCGCUCACUCAACAGUUGUGUCUGCUGAACGCGGCCAAUGCGUUCCGAAAUUUCACUCCAGCCGUACCAGCGGCAGAUAGGGACUAGAGUCUAAAGGCGGGAGCACAUAAAAGUACAGGACCCAUGGCAGAAGUCAUGGAGCAUGCGCAGGCUGGGAUCUAAAAACUGCAUUCGUUUAUGCAGCUCUUAGCGCAUCCACUGCGUCUCUCAUCUGCUAAUCACGUGACGUAAUUUACCGAACGGACAACUGCGUGAACGACUGCUCGGACGUUUGACUCCUCCCAUUUGUUUAGAGAAACCAUAAUGAUGAUUAAUAUUAUAUUAUUCAUACAAUGGACUUGAUCGACAGUAGCUCAUCAGAUUCUGAUUUAUGGUCAGAUAGCUCUGAUGAAGAGCUACUAUUAUUAGAUGAUACGUUUUACAUUUAUUUACGCAGUACUGCAAGCAGAGCAGGACCUCCGAAGUAGCUGCGCAGAUAGGAUGCAUCUCUGCGUAAACGAACGACAAACUGCACUGCAGUCGUU